UAGGUGGUUUGUCGCGUUGUUCGUGAAAUCUCACGGCUUAACUGUGAGCGUGCGGGCGAUACGGGCAGACUUGAGUACUGCAGGGGAGACUGGAAUUCCUGGUGUAGCGGUGGAAUGCGCAGAUAUCAGGAGGAACACCGGUGGCGAAGGCGGGUCUCUGGGCAGUAACUGACGCUGAGAAGCCGAAANNAGCGUGGGGAGCGAACAGGAUUAGAUACCCUGGUAGUCCACGCCGUAAACGGUGGGUACUAGGUGUGGGUUUCCUUCCUUGGGAUCCGUGCCGUAGCUAACGCAUUAAGUACCCCGCCUGGGGAGUACGGCCGCAAGGCUAAAACUCAAAGUAAUUGACGGGGGCCCGCACAAGCGGCGGAGCAUGUGGAUUAAUUCGAUGCAACGCGAAGAACCUUACCUGGGUUUGACAUGCACAGGACGCCGGCAGAGAUGUCGGUUCCCUUGUGGCCUGUGUGCAGGUGGUGCAUGGCUGUCGUCAGCUCGUGUCGUGAGAUGUUGGGUUAAGUCCCGCAACGAGCGCAACCCUUGUCUCAUGUUGCCAGCGGGUAAUGCCGGGGACUCGUGAGAGACUGCCGGGGUCAACUCGGAGGAAGGUGGGGAUGACGUCAAGUCAUCAUGCCCCUUAUGUCCAGGGCUUCACACAUGCUACAAUGGCCGGUACAAAGGGCUGCGAUGCCGCGAGGUUAAGCGAAUCCUUUUAAAGCCGGUCUCAGUUCGGAUCGGGGUCUGCAACUCGACCCCGUGAAGUCGGAGUCGCUAGUAAUC
rnacentral:rRNA from 1 species